rnacentral:rRNA from 1 species
GAUGAACGCUGGCGGCGUGCCUAAUACAUGCAAGUCGAGCGAACAGACGAGGAGCUUGCUCCUCUGACGUUAGCGGCGGACGGGUGAGUAACACGUGGAUAACCUACCUAUAAGACUGGGAUAACUUCGGGAAACCGGAGCUACUACCGGAUAAUAUAUUGAACCGCAUGGUUCAAUAGUGAAAGACGGUUUUGCUGUCACUUAUAGAUGGAUCCGCGCCGCAUUAGCUAGUUGGUAAGGUAACGGCUUACCAAGGCAACGAUGCGUAGCCGACCUGAGAGGGUGAUCAGCCACACUGGAACUGAGACACGGUCCAGACUCCUACGGGAGGCAGCAGUGGGGAAUAUUGGACAAUGGGCGCAAGCCUGAUCCAGCAAUACCGCGUGAGUGAAGAAGGCCUUCGGGUCGUAAAGCCCUUUUGUUGGGAAAGAAAAGCAGCAGGUGAAAACCCCGCUGUCCUGACGGUACCCAAAGAAUAAGCACCGGCUAACUUCGUG